rnacentral:rRNA from 1 species
UAGAGUUUGAUCCUGGCUCAGGACGAACGCUGGCGGCGUGCCUAACACAUGCAAGUCGAGCGGAGAACAUCAGAUGUUUACAUUGAAGUGUUCUUAGCGGCGGACGGGUGAGUAACACGUGGGUAACCUGCCUCGAAGUGGGGGAUAGCCUUUCGAAGGGAAGAUUAAUACCGCAUAAGCUUGUAGCAUCGCAUGGUGCAGCAAGAAAAGGAGCAAUCCGCGUCGAGAUGGACCCGCGGCGCAUUAGCUAGUUGGUGAGGUAACGGCUCACCAGGGCCACGAUGCGUAGCCGACCUGAGAGGGUGAUCGGCCACAUUGGGACUGAGACACGGUCCAGACUCCUACGGGAGGCAGCAGUGGGGAAUAUUGCACAAUGGGCGGAAGCCUGAUGCAGCAACGCCGCGUGAGUGAUGAAGGCCUUCGGGUCGUAAAGCUCUUUGAUCAGGGAUGAUAAUGACAGUACCUGAAAAACAAGCCACGGCUAACUACGUGCCAGCAGCCGCGGUAAAACGUAGGUGGCGAGCGUUGUCCGGAAUUACUGGGCGUAAAGGAUGCGUAGGUGGAUAUUUAAGUGGGAUGUGAAAUCCCCGGGCUCAACCCGGGAACUGCAUUCCAAACUGGAUGUCUAGAGUGCAGGAGAGGAAAGCGGAAUUCCUAGUGUAGCGGUGAAAUGCGUAGAUAUUAGGAGGAACACCAGUGGCGAAGGCGGCUUUCUGGGCUGUAACUGACACUGAGGCAUGAAAGCGUGGGUAGCAAACAGGAUUAGAUACCCUGGUAGUCCACGCCGUAAACGAUGGGUACUAGGUGUAGGAGGUAUCGACCCCUUCUGUGCCGUCGUUAACACAAUAAGUACCCCGCCUGGGGAGUA